UGGGGCUGACCUGCACUUUACCCAUCAGCCAGCGCGCCGGGUUCGGCAAACACCCCCCCUCCUUUCCCAGUAGCGGCGGCUGCAGUAGCAGGAGGCUGAGGUUGGGCGCCGCGGAUAGGCAAUGUGAGGAUCCUCCGCCGGAGCCGCCCCCUCCCAUCCCCCAGUCAGUCAGGGAGUGAGCGAGCGAGCGAGCCUGCCGCGGCCUCUUCACACGCGCAGCACGUACCAAAAUGGCAGAACUGUUUAUGGAAUGUGAGGAGGAGGAGCUAGAACCGUGGCAAAAGAGAGUGAAAGAAGUUGAGGAGGAUGAUGAUGAUGAUGAUGAUGAGCCAAUCUUCAUUGGGGAGAUUUCAAGCUCCAAACCGGCCAGUACAUAUAUAUUGAACAGAGUCAACCUCAGCUCAUCACGAACGGGGAUACAGAAUGGUGCACCUAGUAGAGGUACAGUUACUACAUUCAAGCCUGCCAGUCAACACUAUACAACUCCUGCAUCCAAUCCGGGUGCUGUCACUGUUUCACCAGUCUUUCAGUCUGUAUCCAGACCUGCAACUAGCUCUGUAGCCGUUCAGCCGUUGUCUAGACCAGUGACUGUUUCAGGAACUUCCCAGACGCUACAGAGACCUAUUACUGGAUGUUUAUCAGCUCAGCAGAUACCCGGGUCAAAUUCUGGAAUAUCACAGCCUGUUAGCAGACCUGUAACCAUUCCAGUAACGACACAGCCAGUAUCAAGAGAUAUUUCAAUUCCUGUAAUGGGUCAACCCGUACCGAGGCCAGUGGCUACAGUAACAGCACAACCUGUAAUAUUAAAUCAGGGUUAUAUUGCGAGUUCUCCACAAGCUGUACCAAAUAAUACUUCGGGCAUACUGUUCGGCUUGAGACAGAAGUCAGGAGUUCCUCACUACCAGAGUGGAUCAGUAGUGACUAUGACAGGUCUGAAUGAGAGUGGUUUUGUGUCUAAGCGUCCAGCUACUUCUGAAGCCAACAGUGUUACUCCAAAAAAGGCCAAGCCUAAUGAGGUUGGUGCUGGAAGCAAUUCAACUGUAUCACCUUCAGUUAACUCUCCAACAGUAACACCAUCACAAAAUGUUUCUUCAAAAGGUACUAAUACUACAUCAAGCAAUGUUAAAAAUGGAGCACCUUUUCCACGAGCUUGUCCAAAAUGCAAUAUUCACUUCAAUCUUAUGGAUCCUUUAAAAAAUCACAUGAAGUAUUGUUGUCCAGAUUUGGUAAAUAACUUCUUUCUGGGAAUGUCCAAAACAGAAUGUUCAAAUACACCAAGUAAGACUGCUGAAUCUGAGAAAGGAAAAUUGAUCAUGUUAGUUAAUGACUUUUAUUAUGGAAAGCAUGAAGGUGAUGUCCAGCGGGUACAACAGGAACAGAAGACUCAUACAACUUUUAAGUGCUUCAGCUGUUUGAAAGUUCUUAAAAAUAACAUAAGGUUUAUGAACCACAUGAAACACCAUUUAGAGCUUGAGAAGCAGAGCAGUGAAAGUUGGGAAAGCCACACCACCUGCCAGCACUGUUAUCGUCAGUUUCCCACACCUUUCCAGCUGCAGUGCCACAUUGAAAGCACACACACCCCUUAUGAAUCAUCUACUAUUUGUAAAAUCUGUGAAUUAUCCUUUGAAACAGAGCAAGUUCUUCUGCAACAUAUGAAGGACAAUCAUAAGCCAGGUGAAAUGCCAUAUGUUUGCCAGGUGUGCAAUUACAGAUCAUCAGCUUUUUCAGAUGUAGAAACCCAUUUUAGAACUGUACAUGAAAACACAAAACAUUUGCUUUGUCCAUUUUGCCUCAAAGUUAUUAAAAUUGGAGCACCAUACAUGCAUCAUUAUAUGAGGCAUCAGAAAAAAGGAAUAUACCGUUGUACUAAGUGCAGAUUGCAAUUUUUGACAUGCAAAGAAAAAAUGGAUCACAAGACUCAGCAUCACCGGACAUUCAGGAAACCUAAGCAAUUAGAGGGAUUGCCUCCUGGAACUAAAGUUACUAUUCGAGCUUCCGUUGGACCUCUUCAAUCUGGAACAUCUGCCACAUCUUUUAGCACAAGCACCUCCACAUUUCAGUUAUCUCCCAAAACUAAAAACACAAACACUAAAAAUCACAACAAAUCUAAUACAAAUAAAUCAAAAUUAAAAUCAUCAACUAUACAGAAGAAGCAAAACACAUUUACUAGCAGCAGCAGCAGCAGCAGCAGCAAAAAAAAAAAAAAAGUUGCCAAUACAGCAUUGCAUAAUCUAAGGUAUCGUUUGGGAGUUCAUAAAUGCAUUGAAUGUUACUCAGAAAUAAAAGAUUUUGCAAGUCACUUUCCAGCAUAUGUCCAUUGCAGCUUAUGCAGAUACAAUACUAGCUGUAGCAAAGCCUAUGUGAAUCAUAUGAUGAGUUUUCAUAGUGCUCGUCCAAGUAAAAGAUUUUGGAUCUAUAAGAAGCAUUCAGAAGAACUGAGGGGUGUUACUGUAGUGUGUCUUAAUUGUGAUUUCCUAACUGAUGUUUCUGGCUUAGAUAAGAUGGCCACACAUUUGAGUGAAAGACAUACUCAUACUUGUCAAGUUAUUAUAGAGAAUGUUUCCCUAGCUUGCCCUGCUGCUGAACACAUUUCUGAGUUAAAGGCAACUUCUCUCUCUCUGGUGGAGAUUUCAAAGUCUGAGGAUUCAGCAGCGUGGAAUUUGCUGUGGAAUUCACCCAAUUGCCCUGCAGAAUUGUGCUCUAGAACCUCUGCUUUCAUUUAAAAACAAAAAUUAAAUUUCUAGCCCUUAUGAUUUUUUUCCAUAGAUUCCAAAGCCAGAAUGGACCACUGUGAUCAUCUAGUCUGACCUCCUGUAUAGUACAGACCAUAGAACUUCCCCAAAUUAAUUCCUAGAGCAUAUAUUUUAGAAAAACAUCCAAUCUAGAUUUUAAAGGUGCCAGUGAUGUAGAAUCCACCAUGACCCUUGGUAAAUUGUUCCAGUGGUUACGUUCACUGUUUAAAAAUUUACACCUUAUUUCCAGUCUGACUGUCUAGCUUCAACUUCCAGGCGAAGAUUGCAGAAGAUGCAUUACACUGAAAAUAUGAACAAAGUGCAGACCAUUUCUUUGAGGUUUGCAGAGAGCCUGAAGCAGCCCUCAGAGAUAUGACCUGCCCCUUCAGCUUUGUCGGGGCCUCUUGAAUUCUGAUUCUAUAGCUGUGGAAUUGGUUAUUUUUCCCCAAUGGCAUGAAAUGUUUUAAAUUUUGCUGCAGCCAGGUGCUCAACAUUUUGUUUCAUAUACUUGCUCUGCCUGGAUCUGACUGCAGCUGUAUUUUGCUCUCUAGUUUUUCCCUGUCAGGAGGAGUUAACUGGGUUAUAGUGCAUGCUUUCUGCUCUUUUGAUAAUAUUAGAUAAUGGGGUCAGAGACCAGAGCUGGAGUCUAAUUUACAGCCUGGAUCUUGGGGAACCAAAAGCAUAGGCUGGCCAGCUAGGUUGCCUUGAGAACAUCAUAGGGAGAUGAGUUGCUGAAGUUAUCUAUAAGCUCACCCCUUCCUAGGUAGACAUGGGUGGGGAAGGAGGUUCUGUAGCAGGCCAGCUGUACAUCAUCAUGGGAUCCAAGGCAUGGAGAGUGGAGCCAAGUCACCUGCAGGACAUAGUGAAAAAUCCAUAGUUGAAGAUAAUCUUUGUUGGAAAUAAUUUUAGGUCAGUGAGUAUGAGCCAUCAUUGUGUGGUUUUGUUUUGUUUUUUUAUAUGAGUGAAGGGAUCAGAAUGAAGGCUAUUUAGAACAGAUUAACAUUGCCAUGGAAUUUGAAGAUGUUUGCUGUAGAAUUUGGUCUCAUUGUAGCAGAGUCACAGAUCCCCAUAUAUCAUAUGUAUUGUAUGUUACAUAUAUAUAUGAGGAGUAUACAAUACGAAAACAAAAAAGAAAAAACGAUUUGACUAAAAAAAAAGCUCAGUACAAAUAAUAGAAAUUUAGGAUACUUUUUUGAACAUUAUACAUUAACAAUUUUUCAUUUUAAAUGCAAAAUCCAUUUAUAAUUUUGAACAGUGACCAUUAUGAGUUAAAUUGCCAAAUUUUGUCAUUUUAGGCCCUGACCCUUCAUUGACUUCAAUGGGGCUUUGCGUGGGCCUAAGAGUCUGCAUUAUGGCAGAUGCUUUUAUUGGACUACUUUGGCCAUUUCCAAAUGCCAUCAUUGGAGCACUCUUUUACUUUUUUACAAUUAGUUAUUUUAUACAUGAAAGAAUUAGCUCAUUUUUAUUAUGCCUUCCAGUGCUGAAAAAUCACUUAUCCUAUUAAGUUAUGAUAGUGGACAAUUUGUUCUCCUAUAAAGCUAUCACACUAAGCACUUACAACCAGAGCCUUACAGUUUUAUAUGAGACAAAUUUGUAUGUCAGUCUUCCUUAUCUAAUACAUCUCCAAUAGAUACUGUCCAGGAAGUCCUGUGUAAUACUUUAAAUUGCAUUAACUUCACUUUUGUCUUCCACUGAUGGUCAACAAAUCUGUAGUUCAGUCUUGAUAUUCUUCCUCCAAAUGAACAACUGUGGGGACUCAGUUCUGCAGACCCUACUCAAGUGAGAUGUGAGUGGGUCUACGUAUAUGAAUAAGGGUCACAGAAAUGUGUGCUAAAAAUGUGAUCUACGUUUUCUUAACUUGGAAGACUGGUUGCAAGUGUCUGUACUAAGCUAUCCACUGGAUCUCUACUAACUUGCAGAUCUGGGGAAAUAACAAUAACAUUCUUUCUGCUGCACUGCAGUAUAAUCAGUUGGUCAUGGAUGUAAAAUAAAAAAAUAUCAUUAAUUAUUACAGCAAAAUUCAAGACCUAGUUUGCCUGAAGGAAAAACAGAAACAUCGACUUUUGAAAGACAAGCAAAUAACUCUUCAGAGGAAACAAAAAAAGAAUGCAAUG